rnacentral:rRNA from 1 species
CCUACGGAGGCAGCAGUGAGGAAUAUUGGUCAAUGGGCUUACGCCUGAACCAGCCAAGUCGCGUGAGGGAAGACUGCCCUAUUGGUUGUAAACCUCUUUUGUCAGGGAGCAAUUGUCGCUACGUGUAGCGUUAUCGCGAGUACCUGAAGAAAAAGCAUCGGCUAACUCCGUGCCAGCAGCCGCGGUAAUACGGAGGAUGCGAGCGUUAUCCGGAUUUAUUGGGUUUAAAGGGUGCGUAGGCGGAAUGCCAAGUCAGCGGUAAAAUCGCGGGGCUCAACCUCGCUCCGCCGUUGAAACUGGCGUUCUGGAGUGGGCGAGAAGUAUGCGGAAUGCGUGGUGGAGCGGUGAAAUGCAUAGAUAUCACGCAGAACUCCGAUUGCGAAGGCAGCAUACCGGCGCCCAACUGACGCUGAAGCACGAAAGCGUGGGUAUCGAACAGGAUUAGAUACCCCUGUAGUC